rnacentral:rRNA from 1 species
CCUACGGGGGGCAGCAGUGAGGAAUAUUGGUCAAUGGUCGGAAGACUGAACCAGCCAUGCCGCGUGCAGGAAGGCGGCCUUAUGGGUUGUAAACUGCUUUUAUAUGGGAAGAAUAAGGGGUACGUGUACUUUGAUGACGGUACCAUAUGAAUAAGCAUCGGCUAACUCCGUGCCAGCAGCCGCGGUAAUACGGAGGAUGCGAGCGUUAUUCGGAAUCAUUGGGUUUAAAGGGUCUGUAGGCGGGCUAUUAAGUCAGGGGUGAAAUAUUUCAGCUUAACUGGGAAAUUGCCUUUGAUACUGGUAGUCUUGAAUAUUUGUGAAGUUUUUGGAAUGUGUAGUGUAGCGGUGAAAUGCAUAGAUAUUACACAGAACACCGAUUGCGGAGGCAGGGGACUAACAAAUAAUUGACGCUGAGAGACGAGAGCGUGGGGAGCGAACAGGAUUAGAUACCCUUGUAGUC